AGAGUUUGAUUCUGGCUCAGGAUGAACGCUAGCGGCAGGCUUAACACAUGCAAGUCGAGGGGCAGCGGGAUGUAGCAAUACAUUGCCGGCGACCGGCGGAUGGGUGCGUAACGCGUAUGCAACCUACCUUAUACAGGGGAAUAACCUUUCGAAAGGGAGACUAACACCCCAUGGUAUUGAUUUAAGGCAUCUUAGAUUAAUUAAAUAUUUAUAGGUAUAAGAUGGGCAUGCGUAUGAUUAGCUAGUUGGUAAGGUAACGGCUUACCAAGGCGACGAUCAUUAGGGGUUCUGAGAGGAAGGUCCCCCACACUGGUACUGAGACACGGACCAGACUCCUACGGGAGGCAGCAGUGAGGAAUAUUGGUCAAUGGGCGCAAGCCUGAACCAGCCAUGCCGCGUGCAAGGAAGACGGCCUUAUGGGUUGUAAACUGCUUUUACAUAAGACUAACCGUAUAUUUGCGAAUAUACCUGAAUGUAUUAUGAGAAUAAGGAUCGGCUAACUCCGUGCCAGCCGCGGC
rnacentral:rRNA from 1 species